CCUUAUUAGUUUUUUCUAAAUUAAUAAUUCUUCCAAAUAAAUAAAGAAAUAAUAAAUGUAUAAAAAUUAUUAAACUUUAAUUAAAAAGAACUGAAAAGGAAAUCACAAAGUAUAAAAAAGUACUCAUUUGAGGUACCUUUUGCAUCAUGGUUUAUAGAAUAAAAAAUUGGAAAAUUUAUUCCCGAAUUAAAGUGAUCUAUAAUAUACAUGAAAAUUAGUGUUAUAAAACUAAUAACUAUCUUAUUAUAGAUAUGAAAUGCUAAACGAACUUUAAGAUAUCUGGUUUUCUAAAAAAUGAAUUUAAUUCAGCUAAAAUAUAAGUUUUAACAAUUAAAUAGGUUAAAAUUUAAGUUUUAAGUAAGUUGAUGAGGGAUAAGCUUCAUUAAUCGUCUAAAUAUAAAUUAGCUUAUUAAAAUAAUUUUGUAAAGUAUUGAUAAUAUUAUAUUUUAUCAAGGAAAAUUAUCAUUUUAAUAAAAUUUAUUAAGAUAUUAGAAAAUAUAUUAGAAAAUUAAAUUAAAUCUUUAAUUAAAAAUAAUUAUUAUAAAAUAAGUAUUUUAUUAAAUCUUGCAUAAGGAACUCGGCAAAAUUUAAUUAUGCUCGCCGGUUUAUCAAAAACUUGUCCUUAAGAAAAUAAUUUAAGGUAUAAUCUGCUCACUGAAAUUUUUAAAGAGCCGCAGUAGCCUGACUGUGCUAAGGUAGCAUAAUAAAUUGCAUUUUAAUUGGAUGAUGGAAUGAAUGAUUGAACGGGCAUAAACUGUCUCAUGCAAGAUAAAAAAACUUAAUUUUUAAGUUAAAAAGCUUAAAUAUAAAUAGGGGACGAGAAGACCCUGUAGAGCUUAAUUAAUUAAAAAUUAUUUAUAUUUUUAAGUAAAAUUUAAUUAAUUUGGUUGGGGGUAUCAAGCAAUAAAAAAAAUUUGCUUCUAAAUAAAUUUAAUAAAAAAACUAUUAAACUUUUUAUAGAAAAUAUAGAAAAGCUUCCUCAGGGAUAACAGCGUAAUAUCUAUCUUAAGAACAAAUUGAGCUAGAUGUUUGCGACCUCGAUGUUGAAUUAAGAUAACUCUUGGAAGAAGAAAGCCAAAGAGUUAGUCUGUUCGACUAUCAAAAUCUUACAUGAUUUGAGUUCAGACCGACGUAAGUCAGGUCAGUUUCUAUCUCUAUUUUAAAUUGUUAAUCUUUGUACGAAAGGAUCGGAUUAAAAUUACUCUU
rnacentral:rRNA from 1 species